rnacentral:sRNA from 1 species
AGACAGAACUGGCCUCAAAUCCUGGCUGUCAUGUACUUGCUAUGGGCCUAGAGUAGCUUACCUAAAUGCUACUAACCUUCCUCCAUACCAUUAUUGUAAAGAUUAAAGGUGAUGCAUCUGUUAAGUAACUAAUAGAGUGCUUAUUAAAAGGUAGGUGUUCAAUACUUAUUAAUUCCCUCCCUUUUUCUUACUAGUCCACUUGUGUUUUUAAUGGAUCAUACUUUACCCUAGAUUGUACUGUAGGAGGCAUCGUGGAUGGAUGGCUGCUGGAAACCCCUUGCCAUAGCCAGCUCUUCUUCAAUACUUAAGGAUUUACCGUGGCUUUGAGUAAUGAGAAUUUCGAAACCACAUUUGAGAAGUAUUUCCAUCCAGUGCUACUUGUGUUUACUUCUAAACAGUCAUUUUCUAACUGAAGCUGGCAUUCAUGUCUUCAUUUUGGGGUAAUUUUAUCUUUAGGCAUAAAUAACAUUAUGUUCAUGGUCAUGAUGAUUGUCCUUGGAUAUCUUUUCCAUUAAAUUAGUUUACGUUCAGUUUGCUUAUAUCUCUAGGUACUCAGUAUCUGGGGGAUAGAAGGCAGACUAUAGGGAUUUAGAGAGGUUUGGUAAACACCUAACUGAGCAUUUUUCUACAUCGUGGUAAUA